AUUGAGCACUGGCGGCAGGCCUAACACAUGCAAGUCGAGCGGAUGAGUGGAGCUUGCUCCAUGAUUCAGCGGCGGACGGGUGAGUAAUGCCUAGGAAUCUGCUUGGUAGUGGGGGACAACGUUUCGAAAGGAACGCUAAUACCGCAUACGUCCUACGGGAGAAAGUGGGGGAUCUUCGGACCUCACGUUAUCAGAUGAGCCUAGGUCGGAUUAGCUAGUCGGUGAGGUAAAGGCUCACCAAGGCGACGAUCCGUAACUGGUCUGAGAGGAUGAUCAGUCACACUGGAAAUGAGACACGGUCCAGACUCCUACGGGAGGCAGCAGUGGGGAAUAUCGGACAAUGGGCGAAAGCCUGAUCCAGCCAUGCCGCGUGUGUGAAGAAGGUCUUCGGAUUGUAAAGCACUUUAAGUUGGGAGGAAGGGCAGUAAGUUAAUACCUUGCUGUUUUGACGUUACCAACAGAAUAAGCACCGGCUAACUUCGUGCCAGCCGCCGCAGUAAAAC
rnacentral:rRNA from 1 species